rnacentral:rRNA from 1 species
GCAAGUCGAGCGCUACCUUCGGGUGGAGCGGCGGACGGGUUAGUAACGCGUGGGAACAUACCCUUCUCUAUGGAAUAGCCUUGGGAAACUGAGAGUAAUACCAUAUACGCCCUUCGGGGGAAAGAUUUAUCGGAGAAGGAUCGGCCCGCGUAAGAUUAGAUAGUUGGUGGGGUAAUGGCCUACCAAGUCUACGAUCUUUAGCUGGUUUUAGAGGAUGAUC